rnacentral:ncRNA from 1 species
GGCCGGAUAAGGCGUUUACGCCGCAUCCGGCAAUGGUGCCAAAUACCUGAUGCGACGCUCGCCGCAUCUUAUCAGGCC